ensembl:lncRNA
CCUGAGCGACAUCACUUUCACUUUUCACUUUCAUGCAUUGGAGAAGGAAAUGGCAAGCCACUCCAGUGUUCUUGCCUGGAGAAUCCCAGGGACGGGGGAGCCUGGUGGGCUGCCGUCUCUGGGGUCACACAGAGUCGGACACGACUGAAGCGACUUAGCAACUUAGCAGUUUGACCCUUUUACGUGGCCUCAGUUUACUUGGCUUAAAUUCUCUGAGUCUUGAUUUCCUCAUCUUUAAAAUGAGGGGCCUGGCUACAGUCUCGGACAUUCCAUCCUUCACGUGUCCACAUCUUCCUGACGGCAGACAUGGCAGGACCAGGGUCUGUCUCUAAAUACAGUCACACUGGGUGCUAAGCCUUCAACAUAUGAAUUUUUGGGAGAACACCAACAUCCAAUUCAUAACACCAUUAAAAAGGAGGAGAAAAUAUUUUUAUUGGGUCAUUUUCCCUGGGGCUGAAUCUAUUAGAUCUACACAGGAGAGCAUUGAGAGAGCUAAUUGGAAAGAUUGCUAAGCUUGCUGCAAGAAGCCAGAGAGGGGCAUUUUAUUUCUCACUUGGAUGCUUGCUGAGCCGCAGAACACAGUACCCUGACUGCCUCUGGACUUGAGUGCAUGAAGCAAGCAUCCGUGUCUGGGAGACCCAGUGAAAAUGAACUUUAGGGCAACUACUGGCUGUCAGCAGGCAAGAAACGGAGGCCCCCAGUCCAGCAGGACAGAGAUCGCUGACUCCUGCUAGCAAGCAUAUGAAGCUGGGAGCAGAUCCCUCUCCAGUUGAGCUUUCAGAUGAGAUGCUGGAAACCUCGAUUGAAGCUUCAUGAGAGACCCCGAAGCAGAGGACCUGGUGAGCUAUACCCAGGUUGUGCGAGAUGGUACAUGUGUGUUGUUGUUAGCCACUAAAUGUGUGCUAAUUUGUUAUACACAAUAGGUAACGAAUAUGCAGUUUUGUGGUUUUGCUUACAUCACUCCCCUCUUCACAGGACUGCAGUAUAAGUCCCUGGAGAUUGUUCUCAGAAAUAAAUAUAACUGACAAUCACCACUCUGUGCUCAGAAUUGUCCUUCUCCUUCCACCAAAGGUCUGUUACCUGAUCAGCUUUGUUGUGCUUGAUUUCUCUGGGAAAAGUUCUCUCUCAGGUGACCUUAGCUCCUCACACAAAGGGAGCUUUGUGGGGCCUGCCUAUGUGGUUCCCCAGAUAAGCCUGAAUACUCUUAAAUCCAGCAAUGGUGCAGCUUGGCCUAAAGCUAAGAGCUCACAAUAUGUCAGAUAAUUUGUCAAUUUCCAGAUGCAUUAUACCAAGGGUCCCCAACUCCCCCAGGGCCACAGAUCAGUACUUCAGAGCAGUGAGCAGUGGGUGAGCAAGAGAAGUUUCA